ensembl:snRNA U6 U6 spliceosomal RNA
GUGCUCGCUUCAGCAGCACAUAUAUUAAAAUUAGAAUGAUACAGAGAAGAUUAGCAUGGCCCCUGCACAAGGAUGACACGCAAAUUCAUGAGGCAUUCCAUAUAUUU